rnacentral:lncRNA from 1 species
CGGAUAUGGACUUCCCCAGCAUUAACAUGGAAGACAUCUUUGUAGAACUGGACACCCAAACAACAUGUCCAAAGGGAAAUUGAGAACAGAAUACAACAAUCUUUUUUCCAUUUACUCAAUAGUUUAGGUGUUAUUUCCAUAUCCAAUGUACAUUAUAUCAUGUCCACAUUACUCCAAAAACAUCAGAGAUAGAUAAUCAAC